rnacentral:rRNA from 1 species
AUUGAACGCUGGCGGCAUGCCUUACACAUGCAAGUCGAACGGCAGCGCGGACUUCGGUCUGGCGGCGAGUGGCGAACGGGUGAGUAAUGUAUCGGAACGUACCAUUGAGUGGGGGAUAACGUAGCGAAAGUUACGCUAAUACCGCAUAUUCUCUCCGGAGGAAAGCAGGGGACCGCAAGGCCUUGCGCUCUUUGAGCGGCCGAUAUCAGAUUAGCUAGUUGGUGGGGUAAAAGCUCACCAAGGCGACGAUCUGUAGCGGGUCUGAGAGGAUGAUCCGCCACACUGGGACUGAGACACGGCCCAGACUCCUACGGGAGGCAGCAGUGGGGAAUUUUGGACAAUGGGCGCAAGCCUGAUCCAGCCAUGCCGCGUGAGUGAAGAAGGCCUUCGGGUUGUAAAGCUCUUUCGGUGGGGAAGAAAUUGCACUCUCUAAUACAGGGUGUAGAUGACGGUACCCGCAUAAGAAGCACCGGCUAACUACGUGCCAGCAGCCGCCGUAAAAC